AUGGAUAAACCACCAAGUCAGAAUAUGAUAGACAAGUUGUGUUCCCGUUUCAGGUAUGUUCCACAGUUCCUACCAGAAAGCCAAUAAUCAAUCCUCUGUAUGAGAUUUAAUGAUAUCUCAGAAGUCAAUUUUUUGUAUACCUUUUGCUGCAACUUUUGAUCUCUCAUAAUUCAGCUGGAAUAACUCAAUACAUUUAGCUAUGUAAUGUGCUUGUGAAUAAAACUAGAAUUAAUUUUUUGUUCUAAUUUGUAAUCUUAAUUGAACUGUUUGAGGAGCCAAAUGCAUGGUUACCAUUGAUUGCCACAAGAUUGGAUUCACUUACCUAAUAUUCAGUCUUUAUUUCAUUAUAAUUUGAAUGUAUCUUUGUUACAUUGCAGAUGGGUUUGUAAUAUUCUUAAUUUGUUGCUUUAAACUAAAUGCUAAUAUGAUACUGUUUGAAAUCUUCUGUUCCGUUGCUUUGUUAUCAUGUGCAAAGAUUGAUGAAAGAUUGUUGUAAUUCCAAGAGUCAUUUUCUGCAAUUUUUUACAAUACUUUUGAAGUCAAAUACGAUUACUUUUUUUCUUCUUCUUCUUGCGAUUAGAAACCGACUAUAGUAUAAAAAAGAACAGUAUGUUUUUAUUCUUUAUCUUUGUUAAAAAUUCUUGUUCCUAUAAACAUUUGUUGAAUAGUUACAUACAGUACGUCCUUUCUCUUCAAAAUGCAUACAUUGUUCUAAUAUUGGUGAAAGUUGUACUUGUAUGUAUCAAGCCAUAACUCUAAUAUAUUAUUCUUUUCAAUUGUCUUCGCAUAAUCUCCUGUAUAUUAAUUAUAUUAUCGUAAACCUUAUGAGUAAUAUAUCUCAUCAGAAUCUGUAUGAAAGAGAAGAUAUAUCUGCACUAAAUCAUGCUUUAAUAUUCAGGAGUUUAAACCCAUUUGGGGUUGGUCUAGUGGUUGGUUUGGGAUCUUGGAGUUUUCUCCUCCAGAGGUCUCGAUUCGAUUCCCACUGGUGUCAAUUUCGUAUGUUACAAUUGUCGGAGCAAAAAACCUCCGCUCCAUGAAAUCCGUCACUGUCUUUAUUUUAUCAUACAUGCCUGCUUUGCCAUAGGACUUUAUCAUCAAGUUGAAUGUCUUCAUGUUACACCCAUUAGCUGAAAUUUAUCAUAUCAUUAUCGAUUUUCCUACCGUUUCCAUAUGAUCCUAUCAAAGAGUUCAGCGUGAAAACAUCUGGUUGGCAGUUUUCAUUUUCAAUCAUAUCUGUCAAUGAAUUCUCCAUCUUCUCAAACAUGUCAGCCUUACCAUAUCCAUCAAUUAUGGAAUUAUAUGUCACAUUGUUACAUUCAAUGCCCAAAUAUGACAUAUCCGCAAGAACUCGUUCAAUUAAAUCAAAUCGACGAAACUUUGCACAACAACUUAUAAGAACAGAAUAUUUAUAUACAUCUGAUUUGCGAUCAGCAACUGAUUUCAUAUCUUCAAUAGUAGAAAAUGUGUGACGAAAGAGACCACUUUAACCGUAAGCACUUGCAAGAGCAAUGAAGACAUCAACAGUAGGUUUAAGCCCUUCAAACAACAUGGUUUCAUAGAGCUGACUAACCUCCUUAGGCUGCUUGCACUUGCUGUCAGACAACGAGGUGUUUUUUUUUUUAAUAUAAUUGUGUAUAUAAGAAUAUAAUUCCCUGAUUUGUAUCGAUAUAAUUUGUGAAAUAUAUACAACUAUUCGGCUAAUGAAUGGCUAAUCAAUAUUUACGAGUCCUUACAAAAAAUAUUUACAAGUCAAACAAUGAAUAUAGACAUAUUCUAAUAAUGCUGUCACACAAUCCAACGUGAAACGGUUCAACAAAGCUACAUCGAAGUUUCCAACCCGAAUCAGGAAGUAUUCGUAGAAGCUAUUCAUAAUGGGCUAAAGGCGGGGACACUUCAAUGGAUCCUUGGCUUAGAAAUCAAUUUAUUUUUUAGAUCUGAAUUAAUAAAUAAAAUUGAAAAUUACCUCAAAAAAAAUUUGAAAUUAAUAAAAUGACAUGAAAAAUGGUUAUUCCAAAUCACAAAUGUCAUGUCUCUGCCACUUCAUAAAUGAAGUACCUCAUCACUAAAACUGUUGGCGAUCAAAAAGCUGAUUUUAUAAAAAGGGGACUAGAAGUUCAAAAAAUAUAAAUAGGAGGAUAAAAGUGCACUGAAGUCUAUAUUAAAAAUGCAAAAAAAUAAUGUGAACUAAUAAGCUUAAAUUAUCGAAAAAGUGGUACUACUACUAAGCCCUCACCAUAGGACACCAUACGUCAUCUACUCAGCUAUGUCUUAUGUAUUUAUUGGAUAAAAAAACAUGUCCCGUGUUGAAUAGUGAUGUGGCCUAAAUAGAGUUUAUAAAGUGUGUGCAAUGCUCACCUUGCCAAUCAGUUUUGUGGAGUUGAGUCAGGUCUAAAAUCUAAGAAUAUUGUCUGAAAGCAAUUUGGUUCAGUUUGAAUAAGAAUCAUUCAUUUAUUUUCUCUGCAUUUAGUUUCUUAUGAAAAGGUAUGUUCAUGUGUGGUGUCUUUAAGACAUGUAGGGAUUUCACAUGGGUAAAAAAGAAUGAAAGUGUACUAUAAGUUAUUAAUGUCUGCUCUAUUUACUUUUAAUAUGCACCAAACAUAACAUGACUUACAUGUUAUAUUUAUAGUAAGGAAUAUUGAUGAAGUGUAUUUCUGUUACAUUGUAGGUCACAGAUGCAAACAAUUAUUACAAAAGCAUGUAAGGAGCUUGGCAUAAGAGCUCUUCCCAGUAAACGGGUGAGUAUGUUUCUGAUUCUGCCGUGGAUUUGAUAUUUCAUUGCUCAUCAGAAAACUAUAUAAGUUUCCUUGCCGACAGAAAUGAAUUAGUUUGCUUCAUGACUGACAAUCUGAGACACUAAUUGGCAAUAAAACUAAGUGGUCUUGUAACGUGCAUGCCAAACCUUGGAUCAAAAAGCUUAGGGGCCCAUUUGCUUUCAAAGAACAUUUUCAAUUGUGAUAGAGAGAAGAUAGAAGUUAACUAGAGAGAAUGCAUUUUUGGAAACAAUGAAAAUAAUGUUUUGAAAGUUUGUGAAUUUUCAAAAAGAUUCAAUCUAUUUUUAAAACGUAUUUUCAAAAUCUUCAAUAUUGUCUUCUCUAAUGUUUUAUUUUAUCAGUGGAAAUGGAAACAUGAAACACAAGAAGUAAACGGGCACUUAACUUGACCAUUAGAUGAAGGUUCCAAUAAUAGGUUCCAUAUGUACUUUUCUGUGGAAUGUGGAAUGUAUGUAUGCCCUCAAAUUAACUUAUGAAAGGGAAGGAGUUGAUAAAUAUUGAAUGAGAUUAAUGGCCAUGCAUUGUCAGAAUAAAUCAGUUCUACACUGACAUCCAAUGAGAAGCUUCCAUUUUUCAUGUCAUAUACUCGAAAAUACAGAGUGAUGUCACUAAAUAGUUGAUUUUGAUUUGAUAUCAGUAUAAAACUUAUUUACACUAACAAUGUAUAGCCUGAAAAUCCAUAUUCAAUUUAAUCACUUUAACUAUUUAUAAAAAGGAAAAAUAAGGUUGGAGGGGUAGAUAUUUGAUUGUGAUGUGGCAUCCUUGUAGAAAGGGGGGAAUUUGUAAUUGUAGUUGCAUUGCAGCUGUUGUAGGUCGAUGUUAGUUUGUUUGGAUUGGCGUCGGAAAAUGCCAAACGCUCAACAACUAUUUUUUGUUUUGGCGCUGACAUGCUAUGGAAAAUUGCUAGUGCGCUAAUAAUAAAGCAACACACACUGGUGAUUUGUAGUCGCAAUAUAAUGCAGUUUUUGUGACUGCUGUAUUGUGGCUGAUCACAUUACGAGGUCUGCAAUUUCAAACACUGUUUGGUAGACCGGUGCUAACUACAAAGUGUUGGUUAAGUUAGAGCAUCCAAAAAUCUGGUUUAUUCCCCCCUUGUUUCUUUUUUCAUCUUAAAUUGCCACAUAAUUUGUUGUUUGAUUAUGUGUCAGAAUUCCCAAAAACAAAGAAGAUCCAUAUUUGCCCCAUCUUGUUGAAAUCAGUAAUUUUACAUUUGAAUUCAUGUAACAUAUAGCUUAAUGUUUCAUCCAAAAUAUUGGAAAGCAUACUCAUCUAGACUGUUGGUUUUUAUAUUCUUAGACCAGAAAUUCUAGUUGCUGUGUCAAACCAAGCUGCACAUGGGUCAUUUUUACAAAUCCAGAGUGCUUCACGAAAUUCAAAUUUACCAAUAAAGUAAUAAGAAUAUAGGUGGAAUUUUCCCCACCUUCUAACAUGACUUCGGAUGUACACAUUCGGAAAAAAACAUAAAUUUUGUGUAGUCCAGAAGUACACUUUCUGACAAAAUAUGUCGAUCAGAUGUACACUUCCAGAAACAUGUGUAGAUUUUUAGAAAUGUGGGGGAUUGGGGAAGGUCCUUCCUGACAUCAGCUUUGAAAUGUUUUUAAGUGGCAUUUGUUGCACAAAAGUAAAAGAUAAAACAUUUUGAAUCUUUUGGUGACUCUACUUCCUUUUCAGUGGUGCACCUGUGUAUAUUUUAUACGCUUCAUUUGAUCAUUUUCAGUGCUUGUCAUUACUUUUAUGGCUAGAGGAACGCUAUGAGACUGUAUACACGAAACAUCCUGGAUUUCAAAAGGGAUCCAAGCCUCUUUUGCCAUUAGACAAUCCUUUUGCGACGAAACUUCCAGAAGAUCUUUUUGGGGAAAGAUGGGCAUUUGUUCAGUUACCUUACUCAGGUAAAGUCAUCAACUUUUAUAUCAUCUCUUGCACAUGUGUUUUCAUUUUCAUUUUCAUUUUAUUGAUCAUUUACUUUGCUUACACUGGUUUGAAGUUUAGACUGAUAGCUACAUUACAUAGAUUACAAUUCUCUCAUUUUUCGAAAGUCAAAUGAUAUUCCUCUUGUUUUAGUACAAGGCUGUGCAUGUUAAUACUUUAAAUUGUUUUCUUUAGAUAUAUACAUAGCUUAAUUUCAAUGACCUAUUUUAUAGCUGUUCGAGCGGAGGCCUCAGCUUCAGAGGAAAGAUUUGGAUACGGUUCUGGGCUAGAUCUUGAUUUAUUGGGUAUUGAAAUCGACGAGAAGACCUUGAUCCCAGGAUUGGCUGUUGCAUCUUCUCGUGCUAAAAUAUUAUCAGGUAAGAAACUCCAGUUUUCAUAUUUUGUUCAUAUAUAUUAUAUUAUUUUCUUCACAACAGAUUCAUUGUAACUAUAAUUAAAAAUUACCUAGGUAUUAAAAAUGACUUUUAUGCACUGAAUUAAUUAGUUAUCAUAGUCCUUCAACAAAUUUAUUGAAGAAUUAAAACAUUUCUUGAGCUCAAAAGUAUUCAGCACAGAACUGCAAAUACCUAUGAUGCUAUCAUACAUUUUUAACAUUAAAACUUUUAAAUUUGUAUAUAAAUGUUGACAAAAAAGCUGGACCAGUGUUCUCAAUAAAAUUUAUAGACAAUAAACACUUCAGUAAGUGCUUUAUAGAGCUUUUUUCAACAAACCCUAAACUAACUUAUGAAAACAAUGAAAAUAGAUUAUCCAAAUGCCUCCUUUGAUUGUAGAAUUACAUUAUACAUAAGCUCUAAAUUAAGCUAUUUACUCAAACACAUUAUUAAUGUGUGCUAUAUCAUGAUCAAGUAUGCUUCUUGUAGUUAUCAUUUACUUUUAUUAACCCUCACCAUUUACUGUCACAGCUUUUAUGAAUGGAUUGGAGCUCUGUUCCAUUGAAACGGACACUGCUCGCUCUAACCUGACUCUUUCAGUUGGAAUUUCGACUCGGUAUGUAUAUGCGACCUAUAAGAAAAGUCCUACCUCAACUAAAGAAGCUGAAGCUUGGGAAGCAGCUAAGAAAGCUUCUGGAGGUUUACAUUUCCUAGCAAUCCAAGAUGAGUUAGAUUCUGAAGAUUGUAUUGGCUUCUGGCUUUUGCUAGACUUGCCACCUCCACCUGUAUAAUGAUGAUAUCGUACAAAUUAUUAUGACGGAAUUUUGAAAGAACAAAAUUAUUACAAUAGAAUCACUAGAUUUCAGAAGUUUUACCUAAGGCUACAAAGUUUUGUUGUAUUAUCAUUUUCAACCUUUUACUACCUCUGCCCUUAAAUAUAAGCAUCAUUUGAGAAGGAAAAAAAAAUUUGUCCUUAAAUAUAAGUUCUAUUUUAAAUUUCGAAAUUCAUUAUUAUUUAUAAGAUAAAUUAUUCAACUUAGUAAUAUUCAUAUACAAUGUGUGUACAUUAUUUAUAUUUCUAACUUUUCUUAAUAUUUGUGGAAAAUGCUCAAAAGGGUUAGUAUAAAAGACUUUUUUUACCAAAUAAAAUUUGUUAUGGUACUCUUUUCCCAAAUAACAACGGAGCCUCCUAUGUUAAGUCGCUUUUGCAGUUUUGACCCCAUGUUAAUUUUGAUCUAGUCAACGCACACGUGUGUAAUUUUAUGGAUGUCAAUAUAUGUUUUUGACUGUCUCUAGCAAUUGUAGCCCGCCUGAUUUCUACACAUGCCUUUGACAGUCUCUCUUCUAAUUUUUGCAAGACAAAUGCUUCUAUUAUCCAUUGUUACCAUGCUCAUCACCAUCUCACUCAAAACUUUUUGUCAGUCAAUAAAAUGGUAGAUUAGAGUCUCACUAUCAUCUUUCUUAGAAAGCUUCGAUGAGUCCAUUUUUCACGGCUAAUCAAGGGUUUAAAAGCUUGUCUUUUUGCACAAAAGUUUUAUCAACUUCUUUGAAUCACAUUCCUAAAGUAAAAAUGUAUAUAAAGCAUCUUCUUUUAAAAGAUUCCGAUGGCUUUAAUUGAGUGUGCAACUUUUCCUUUUUCUUUGCAUCAAUUAUUUUGUGGGAUGUGGGUCCAAUAUUAAACAAUGAAGCUUUGCUUUCCAGCUUUCAAAUUUUGUUUCAUACCUUUGCAAUAUAUUUUAAUUUUCACACAGGUGAUUAGAAAACUGAUAAUAUGAUGGUAAAGGAGUAAACGUGUACAUAAAGAUUCCGAUUAUUUUAAUUGAGUGUGCAACUUUUUCUUUUUCUUUGUAUCAAUUAUUUUGAGGGAUGUGGGUCCAAUAUUAAACAAUGUUAAGCUUUGCUUUCCAGCUUUUCAAAACAUUAUAUUGUCCAUUCAUUCACAUGCUUAGUAGAGAUACUUGCUUCAAAAUUCUGCUAUUAGCUACACAUUUCAUACUACCUGAUUUGCUUUUACAAGAUCAACAGAAGAUGGCUGCAACUAUGAUUGGAGGCGCUUUUCUCUCUGCAACUGUUCAGACCUUAGUUGAGAAACUUGCUUCAACUGAGUUUCGUGAUUACAUCAAAAACACUAAGCUCAAUGUCUCACUCUUGAGGCAGUUACAAGCAACCAUGCUCAAUCUUCAGGCUGUUCUAGAUGAUGCAGAGGAGAAGCAGAUCAGCAAUCCCCAUGUCAAACAGUGGCUUGAUAACUUGAAAGAUGUUGUCUUUGAUGCUGAGGAUUUGCUCAACGAAAUCAGUUACGAUUCCCUGCGAUGCAAGGUGGAGAAUGCAAAAGCUCAAAACAAAACUAAUCAGGUGUGGAACUUCCUUUCUUCUCCUUUUAAUAGUUUUUACAAAGAGAUCAAUUCCCAGAUGAAGAUCAUGUGUGAUAGCUUGCAACUUUAUGCACAGAAUAAAGAUAUACUUGGUUUGCAAACUAAAAGUGCUAGAGUUUCUCGUAGAACACCUUCUAGUUCAGGGGUAAAUGAAUCUGUCGUGGUGGGUAGGAAGGGUGACAAAGAGACAAUAAUGAACAUGUUGCUAUCUCAAAGAGACACAACCCAUAACAAUAUAGGUGUUGUUGCAAUUUUGGGCAUGGGAGGUUUAGGAAAAACUACCCUUGCCCAACUUGUUUACAAUGAUGAAGAAGUUCAACAACAUUUUGAUAUGAGGGCGUGGGCUUGUGUGUCUGAGGAUUUUGAUAUUUUGAGAGUAACCAAGUCUCUCCUUGAAUCGGUCACUUCCAUAACAUGGGAUAGCAAUAAUCUUGAUGUCCUUCGAGUUGCGUUAAAGAAAAACUCAAGGGAGAAAAGAUUUUUGUUUGUGUUGGAUGAUUUGUGGAAUGACAAUUAUAAUGAUUGGGGUGAACUAGUAAGUCCCUUCAUUGAUGGAAAACCCGGAAGCAUGGUGAUUAUAACAACACGCCAACAAAAAGUUGCUGAGGUGGCACACACAUUUCCAAUACAUAAAUUAGAUCUUCUAUCAAAUGAAGAUUGUUGGUCUUUACUCUCAAAGCAUGCAUUGGGAAGUGAUGAGUUUCACCAUAGUUCAAACACAGCCCUUGAAGAAAUAGGCAGGAAGAUUGCAAGAAAGUGUGGAGGAUUGCCAAUAGCUGCUAAAACAAUAGGAGGACUUCUACGUUCAAAGGUAGACAUAAGUGAGUGGACUUCAAUUUUGAACAGUGACAUAUGGAACUUAUCAAAUGAUAAUAUUCUUCCUGCAUUGCAUUUGAGUUAUCAAUAUCUUCCCUCUCAUUUGAAAAGAUGCUUUGCAUAUUGUUCAAUUUUUCCAAAGGAUUGCCCACUCGAUAGGAAGCAAUUGGUUUUGUUGUGGAUGGCAGAAGGCUUCCUUGAUUGUUCUCAACGGGGGAAAAAGAUGGAGGAAUUAGGUGAUGAUUGUUUUGCUGAAUUGUUAUCGAGAUCGUUAAUUCAACAAUUAAGCGAUGAUGAUCGUGGGGAAAAAUUUGUCAUGCAUGACCUUGUCAAUGAUUUAGCUACAUUCGUAUCAGGAAAAAGUUGUUGCAGGCUUGAAUGUGGUGACAUCCCUGAAAAUGUUCGUCACUUCUCAUAUAACCAAGAAAACUACGACAUUUUCAUGAAGUUUGAGAAAUUACACAAUUUUAAAUGUUUGCGAAGCUUCCUAUUUAUUUGCUUGAUGAAGUGGAGGGACAAUUACUUAUCCUUCAAGGUGGUUAAUGAUUUGCUACCAUCACAAAAAAGGUUGCGUGUGUUAUCACUAUCGAGGUAUAAAAACAUCAUCAAGCUACCUGAUUCAAUUGGAAAUUUGGUGCAGUUGCGGUAUCUAGAUAUCUCAUUCACUGGAAUCAAAAGCUUGCCUGAUACAAUAUGUAACCUUUACAAUUUGCAGACCUUGAAUUUAUCAGGUUGUAGGAGUCUCACUGAAUUGCCAGUGCAUAUUGGAAAUUUAGUCAAUUUACAUCACCUUGAUAUAAGUGGGACUAACAUAAAUGAGUUGCCUGUGGAAAUCGGGGGACUAGAAAACCUUCAAACUCUCACCCUCUUUUUAGUAGGUAAGUGCCACGUAGGGUUAAGUAUCAAAGAGCUAAGGAAAUUCCCAAACCUACACGGAAAACUUACCAUCAAGAACCUGGAUAAUGUUGUUGAUGCCCGAGAGGCACACGAUGCCAACCUGAAAAGCAAAGAGCAAAUUGAGGAGUUAGAGCUGAUAUGGGGAAAACAUAGUGAAGAUUCGCAAGAAGUGAAAGUUGUGCUCGAUAUGUUGCAACCACCAAUAAAUCUGAAGGUGCUUAAAAUUGACUUGUAUGGUGGGACAAGUUUUCCGAGUUGGUUGGGAAGUUCUUCGUUUUAUAACAUGGUAUCUCUCAGUAUCAGUAAUUGUGAAAAUUGUGUGACACUUCCAUCCCUAGGGCAGUUACCUUCUCUCAAGGACAUAGAAAUACGUGGUAUGGAGAUGUUGGAGACAAUUGGCCUGGAGUUCUAUUAUGCCCAGAUUGAAGAAGGAUCUAAUUCUUCCUUCCAACCAUUCCCAUCCCUUGAGCGUAUAAAGUUCGACAACAUGCUCAAUUGGAAUGAAUGGAUUCCCUUUGAAGGCAUAAAAUUUGCUUUUCCUCAACUUAAGGCAAUAGAGUUACGUGAUUGUCCAAAACUAAGGGGAUAUUUGCCCACCAACCUUCCUUCCAUAGAAGAAAUUGUAAUAUCAGGUUGUUCUCAUCUAUUGGAAACACCAUCUACUCUGCGUUGGUUGUCUUCAAUAAAAAAAAUGAAUAUCAAUGGGCUUGGUGAAAGUUCCCAAUUGUCAUUGCUUGAGAGUGAUUCUCCGUGUAUGAUGCAAGAUGUAGAGAUUGAAAAGUGUGUUAAGCUAUUAGCUGUGCCAAAAUUGAUUAUGAGAAGCACUUGUCUUACACACUUGAGACUCGAUUCACUUUCUUCUCUCAAUGCAUUUCCAUCAAGUGGUCUACCCACUUCAUUGCAAUCACUUGAUAUUGAAAAUUGUGAGAAUUUAUCCUUCCUACCUCCUGAAACAUGGAGCAACUACACAUCACUUGUGAGUCUUCGGUUCUAUCGUAGCUGUGAUUCACUUAAAUCCUUUCCACUCGAUGGUUUCCCUGUGCUCCAAACACUUGACAUUGAUGAUUGGAGAAGUCUGGAUUCCAUUUAUAUUUUAGAAAGGUCUUCACCUCGGUCGUCAAGCCUCCAAUCACUUCGGAUCAAAUCCCAUAAUUCAAUUGAAUUAUUUGAAGUCAAGCUUAAGAUGGACAUGCUCACCGCUCUUGAAGAUUUGCAUAUGAAAUGCCAAAAGUUGUCAUUUUCUGAAGGAGUUUGUCUACCUCCCAAAUUAAGAACAAUUGUGAUUUCUACCAAAAAAACAGCACCGCCGGUUACGGAAUGGGGUCUCCAAUAUUUGACAGCUCUUUCAUCAUUGUGGAUUGUAAAGGGUGAUGAUAUAUUUAACACCUUGAUGAAGGAGUCAUUGCUACCCAUCUCCCUUGUGUCUCUAAAUAUCAUGGUUCUCUCUGAAAUGAAGUCCUUUGAUGGAAAUGGGCUUCGACACCUCUUCUCUCUCCAAUAUCUCUAUUUUGCGGGUUGUCAACAGCUUGGGUCAUUGCCAGAAAACUGCUUCCCUUCCUCACUGAAAUCACUUAAAUUUGUUGAUUGUAAGAAGCUUGAGUUAAUUCCAGUAAACUGCCUCCCAUCAUCGCUGAAAUCACUUAAAUUUGUUGAUUGUAAGAAGCUUGAGUCAUUACCAGAAAACUGCCUCCCAUCAUCGCUGAAAUCACUUGAAUUGUGGAAAUGUGAAAAGCUAGAGUCAUUACCAGAAGACAGCCUCCCUGACUCACUGAAGAGACUGGACAUUUAUGGAUGUCCAUUGUUAGAAGAAAGGUAUAAAAGGAAGGAACAUUGGUCCAAAAUUGCUCACAUCCCUGUCAUAGAAAUAAAUGACCAGGUUACAAUAUGAUAGACAAGUUGUGUUCCCAUUUCAGGUAUGUUCCACAGUUCCUACCAGAAAGCCAAUAAUCAAUCCUCUGUAUGAGAUUUAAUGAUCUCUCAAAAUUCAAUUUUUUGUAUACCUUUUGCUGCAACUUUUGAUCUCUCAUAAUUCAGCUGGAAUAACUCAAUACAUUUAGCUAUGUAAUGUGCUUGUGAAUAAAACUAGAAUUAAUUUUUUGUUCUAAUUUGUAAUAU
rnacentral:lncRNA from 1 species